rnacentral:hammerhead_ribozyme from 1 species
AUCCAGCUGGCGGGUCCAAAAUAGGACGAAACACGCGUCCAGGAC